AAACACCACAACCCCAGACCCAGACCCAGCGACUGGAAGGAACGGAUGGGCCUCUAGUGACAGAUCCAGAGACACACAAGAGCACCAAAGCAGCUCAUCCCACUGAUGACACCACGACGCUCUCUGAGAGACCAUCCCCAAGCACAGACGUCCAGACAGACCCCCAGACCCUCAAGCCAUCUGGUUUUCAUGAGGAUGACCCCUUCUUCUAUGGUAAGUUAUCCACAGGAAGAUGUGGGGGAAGGAAAGGUGAGGUCCAUCUGACUCUACCCCUUCAUUUUUCUCUCUGCAGAUGAACACACCCUCCGGAAACGGGGGCUGUUGGUCGCAGCUGUGCUGUUCAUCACAGGCAUCAUCAUCCUCACCAGUGGCAAGUGCAGGCAGCUGUCCCGGUUAUGCCGGAAUCAUUGCAGGUGAGUCCAUCAGAAACAGGAGCCAACAACCCGCUGGGCACCCGAAGACCAAGCCCCCUGCCAGCUCACCGUGCCCAGCCUCCUGCAUCCCCUCGAAGAGCCUGGCCAGAGAGGGAAGACACAGAUGAUGAAGCUGGAGCCAGGGCUGCCGGUCCAAGUCUCCUACCUCCCCCAACCCUGCCUGCCCCUGAAGGCUACCUGGCGCCUUGGGGGCUGUCCCUCAAGUUAUCUCCUCUGUUAAGACAAAAAGUAAAGCACUGUGGUCUUUG
rnacentral:sRNA from 1 species